GCAGACUUGCCUGUCCUAACGCCUCCUAUCGACGAUGUACCAGGAGUUUGGACUCUGGAGGCCUUUUCGCUCCAGUUACUGUCGCUGCGACUCAUCCGUGCUGCUCCUUUGAUUGUUGGGCAGCAUCACAAGCGUUGACCCGUUCACCGGUUGAUGGGCGUGUUGGUGAUUUCCAGGGGUGAGGCAGGUGAAGUCUCAGGGCUUUUCUGGCCUCAGGAGGCUUUCUGGAAGGUUCUCUCCUCACCCGAGGGCCCACUUCUUUGGGCACCGGUCGUUUCUCUACGUUGAAGCUUCCCAGAACUGCCUACGCUAGCCAGAGUCUACCUGCUCUACCGUUUUUCAAGUAAGUGUCCCAUGUUUUCAUUCUAAAUAAUUACUUUAAAAAUCUGAAAUUUUAGCUUUUGAGAAAAGCUAAAGAUUUCAAGUUAAAUAAAAGUUGGAGCCCAACUGUA